rnacentral:rRNA from 1 species
UGGGGAAUUUUGGACAAUGGGCGAAAGCCUGAUCCAGCAAUGCCGCGUGAGUGAAGAAGGCCUUCGGGUUGUAAAGCUCUUUUGUCAGGGAAGAAACGGUGAGGGCUAAUAUCCCUUGCUAAUGACGGUACCUGAAGAAUAAGCACCGGCUAACUACGUGCCAGCAGCCGCGGUAAUACGUAGGGUGCAAGCGUUAAUCGGAAUUACUGGGCGUAAAGCGUGCGCAGGCGGUUUUGUAAGUCUGAUGUGAAAUCCCCGGGCUCAACCUGGGAAUUGCAUUGGAGACUGCAAGGCUAGAAUCUGGCAGAGGGGGGUAGAAUUCCACGUGCAGCAGUGAAAUGCGUAGAUAUGUGGAGGAACACCGAUGGCGAAGGCAGCCCCCUGGGUCAAGAUUGACGCUCAUGCACGAAAGCGUGGGGAGCAAACA